rnacentral:rRNA from 1 species
AUUGAACGCUGGCGGCAGGCCUAACACAUGCAAGUCGAGCGGAAGAAGGGAGCUUGCUCCUGGAUUCAGCGGCGGACGGGUGAGUAAUGCCUAGGAAUCUGCCUGGUAGUGGGGGAUAACGUACGGAAACGGGAGCUAAUACCGCAUACGUUCUGAGGGAGAAAGUGGGGGAUCUUCGGACCUCACGCUAUCAGAUGAGCCUAGGUCGUAUUAGCUAGAUGGGGGGGUAAAGGCCUACCAAGGCGACGAUCCGUAACUGGUCUGAGAGGAUGAUCAGUCACACUGGCGCUGAGACCCGGUCCAGACUCCUACGGGAGUCAGCAGUGGGGAAUAUUGGACACAGGGCGAAAACCUGAUCCAACCCUGCCGCGUGUGUGAAGAAGGUCUUCGGAUUGUAAAGCACUUUAAGUUGGGAGGAAGGGCAGUAAGUUACUACCUUGCUGUUUUGACGUUGCCAAAAGAAUAAGCCCCGGCUAACUUCCUU